GGUCACAGGAUGUUUGCAUUUCUCAUUCAUUUUGUCUAGUUACAAUAAUACGUAGUUUGUUUAGCAUCUAAGCCUGUAGUUUUCAGUUUAACCGCAAUCUUUGUAGCGCUUCGAGUAGUGGUUUCAGUCUGCUUUGGGAAAGAACAAUAUUGACGUAUUUUGCUAGAUUAAAUGGACCGUCAGUAGCUGCUUCGCAUAAAUUUCAAUCUCUAUGGAGAAGAAAAUCCUAGAUGUGGAUUUUGAAAUGUUUAUACACCACAGUUUCUUCGUGUUAGUAUGCAAAAUACUGUCGACUUCACAAACUUUUUUCCCCCAGUUUGAAACUAAAAUCUUAUAAAAAC
rnacentral:misc_RNA from 1 species